UACAGAGGUCUCAAGCGUUGUUCGGAUUCAUUGGGCGUAAAGGGUGCGUAGGUGGCGUCGUAAGUGGGGUGUGAAAUCCCGGGGCUUAACCCCGGGACUGCAUUCCAUACUGCGGUGCUUGAGGACUGGAGAGGAGACUGGAAUUUACGGUGUAGCAGUGAAAUGCGUAGAUAUCGUAAGGAAGACCAGUGGCGAAGGCGAGUCUCUGGACAGCAACUGACGCUGAGGCACGAAGGCCAGGGGAGCAAACGGG
rnacentral:rRNA from 1 species